rnacentral:tRNA from 1 species
GCAUUAGUAGCUCAGGGGUUAAGCACUUGACUUGCAAUCUGUAGGUCCUGGGUUCAAAUCCCACCAUAUACC